rnacentral:rRNA from 1 species
UACGUAGGGACCGAGCGUUGUCCGGAUUCAUUGGGCGUAAAGAGCUCGUAGGCGGCUGUUCAAGUCGAACGUGAAAACUCGGAGCUCAACUCCGAGCCUGCGUCGAUACUGGACGGCUAGAGUCUGGUAGGGGGAUCUGGAAUUCCUGGUGUAGCGGUGGAAUGCGCAGAUAUCAGGAGGAACACCUGCGGCGAAGGCGGGUUGCUGGGCCGACACUGACGCUGAAGCGCGAAAGCCAGGGAGCGAACGGG